AACGAACGCUGGCGGCAGGCCUAACACAUGCAAGUCGAGCGCGCCCUUCGGGGUGAGCGGCGGACGGGUGAGUAACGCGUGGGAACGUGCCCUUUUCUACGGAAUAGCCUCGGGAAACUGAGAGUAAUACCGUAUACGCCCUUUGGGGGAAAGAUUUAUCGGAAAAGGAUCGGCCCGCGUUGGAUUAGGUAGUUGGUGGGGUAAUGGCCUACCAAGCCGACGAUCCAUAGCUGGUUUGAGAGGAUGAUCAGCCACACUGGGACUGAGACACGGCCCAGACUCCUACGGGAGGCAGCAGUGGGGAAUCUUAGACAAUGGGGGCAACCCUGAUCUAGCCAUGCCGCGUGAGUGAUGAAGGCCUUAGAGUUGUAAAGCUCUUUCAGCUGGGAAGAUAAUGACGGUACCAGCAGAAGAAGCCCCGGCUAACUCCGUG
rnacentral:rRNA from 1 species